UGCGUAGGCGGUGCUCUAAGUCGGAUGUGAAAACUCUGGGCUCAACCCAGAGCCUGCAUCCGAAACUGGAGUGCUAGAGUUCUGGAGGGGGUAGCGGAAUUCCUGGUGUAGCGGUGAAAUGCGUAGAUAUCAGGAGGAACACCGGUGGCGAAGGCGGCUACCUGGACAGAAACUGACGCUGAGGCACGAAAGCUAGGGGAGCAAACAGGAUUAGAUACCCUGGUAGUCCUAGCCCUAAACGAUGGAUACUUGGUGUAACGUGGGAUUGAAUCCAGUUGUGCCGAAGCUAACGCAUUAAGUAUCCCGCCGUGGGGAGUACGGUCGCAAGGCUAGAA
rnacentral:rRNA from 1 species